AGUGGCGGACGGGUGAGUAAUACGUAGGGAUCUGCCCUUGAGUGGGGGAUAGCCCGGGGAAACCCGGAUUAAUACCGCAUGAACUCGUGAGAGCAAAGCAGGGGACCGCAAGGCCUUGCGCUCUUGGAGGAACCUACGUCGGAUUAGCUAGUUGGUGAGGUAAUGGCUCACCAAGGCGACGAUCCGUAACUGGUCUGAGAGGAUGAUCAGUCACACCGGAACUGAGACACGGUCCGGACUCCUACGGGAGGCAGCAGUGGGGAAUAUUGGACAAUGGGCGCAAGCCUGAUCCAGCAAUGCCGCGUGUGUGAAGAAGGCCUUCGGGUUGUAAAGCACUUUAGGUUGGGAAGAAAAAACUCGGGCUAAUACCUUGAGUCUUGACGGUACCGACAGAAUAAGCACCGGCUAACUCUGUGCCAGCAGCCGCGGUAAUACAGAGGGUGCAAGCGUUAAUCGGAUUUACUGGGCGUAAAGCGUGCGUAGGCGGUUAGUUAAGUCGAUUGUGAAAGCCCCGGGCUUAACCUGGGAAUUGCAGUCGAUACUGGCUGGCUAGAGAACGGUAGAGGGAGGCGGAACUCCAGGUGUAGCAGUGAAAUGCGUAGAUAUCUGGAAGAACACCGAUGGCGAAGGCAACCUCCUGGGCCUGUUCUGACGCUGAGGCACGAAAGCGUGGGGAGCAAACAGGAUUAGAUACCCUGGUAGUCCACGCCNUAAACGAUGAUUGCU
rnacentral:rRNA from 1 species